rnacentral:lncRNA from 1 species
GCUGGAUGGACAGACUGCCCCCCUAGCCCAGGAGUAAGCCAUGGGCUCCUGUACGCGGGGCCCGCCCAGGAGAGGAGGCCACGCCCCCGCGGAGGUCCUGGACGGGUCCCACUCCUCGCCCAGACCUCAGAGGCGCUCCCUGCGAGCUGGACACCGGCGCGACGCGCGUCCCUGUCAGCGUUCGGAUCGAUAUUUUUAAUGACCUGCUUCUACUGUGAUCGUGUUAACUUCGGCCACAAAGGGAGCCCAGAACGCAUGCUGAGCGCCCCAGUCAAGUCCUGCUUACCUUGCAAUGGUGCCGAUGUGACUAGAGCUGCUGAGCCCUGAGGGCCCGGCACUCGGCUGCAGGACAGGAUUCCCAGAAACACUCGACUCUGAGUUGAACAGAGACACUGGUACAGAAAACAGCGCAAGAUCAGUCAAAUGCAGAUCGGGGCUCUCGUGGUUUGUCAGCCCUCCACGGCAAGGGUCAGCCCCGGGCCCCCUCCUCACCGCACCCUGCUGCAGAGGCGGCUUUGGGGCUCGCCUGGAGACGCCCCACAUCUUCACACGAAGGAAACCAGGGCCCGAGAGCUGGCCGCAAGGCCACACUGGCUCAGGCGCUGGCCCCACAGGCCCUGCGAGGGGCUGUUCCACAGGGCAAGUUCCCGCGGGUCUCUCGGGUCCUGUGCCUGGGCCCAAGUGCUUUUGGGCCCCUGCACCUACUUGGGAGACCCGGAAGAAGCUCCUGGCUUCGGAUCAGUGAACCAGCGGAUGGAAGACCUCUCUCUCUCGCUCUCUGUAACUCUGCCUUUCAAAUAAAUAAAUCUUUUAAGAAAUAAAAACUAAAAAACCCCAAACA